rnacentral:rRNA from 1 species
ACUCCUACGGGAGGCAGCAGCAAGGAAUUUUCCGCAAUGGGCGCAAGCCUGACGGAGCAACGCCGCGUGCGGGAUGACGCCUUUCGGGGUGUAAACCGCUGUUCGUGGGGACGAAGCACUGACGGUACCCACGGAGGAAGGCCCGGCUAACUACGUGCCAGCAGCCGCGGUAAUACGUAGGGGCCGAGCGUUGUCCGGAGUUACUGGGCGUAAAGCGUGCGCAGGCGGCGUAUCGCGCCCGGCGUGAAAGCCCCCGGCUCAACCGGGGAGGGUCGUCGGGGACGGGUACGCUUGAGGGCAGCAGGGGCUGGUGGAAUUCCCGGUGUAGUGGUGAAAUGCGUAGAGAUCGGGAGGAACACCUGUGGCGAAGGCGGCCAGCUGGGCUGCACCUGACGCUGAGGCACGAAGGCGUGGGGAGCGAACGGGAUUAGAUACCCCGGUAGUCCACGCAGUAAACGAUGCAGACUAGGCGUGGGGGGACUUGACCCCCUCCGUGCCGGAGCUAACGCGGGAA